AGCAGAUAAAAAAAACGAAAAUGCAGUAGGACUAUUUUCUACGACAGACAUCUAAAAUUUAUGUUAUUUUCAGUGGCUGAAAUUCAUAGUAUGGAGCGGAAAUAAUUUACUGAAACGGUAGAAAAGAUGGACAAAAUCUCAAAUAUGGUAAUAACAUUGGCGUUUCCGUCAGCUACAUAGUGCUCGAUUGUUUGGAUACUAAUGCGAAAAAUGAAAAAGUGAAAUCGUUGCGUACGAGACCAACUGUUUAGUUGACAAAUGCAUUGAGCGAGCUAGCAGACGGCCACUCAACGGCAGACAAGUAUUACUUGCACAACUGCUGAGCUAUUACAGGAUUCAAUCGACAAUGUCUGGAGGAUAUAGUUAUAACCGUGAGGCUGUUCGGGUUAAAGUAAAGAAAUGUGAGAAGAAUGUGCAACCGGAAACCCGAAAAUUUAGUGUUGACCCACAGAUUACUAGUCUGGAAGUACUUUACUCAAUUUUAGCGAAAGCUUUUGACCUGAAAACUGACUUUGGCAUAAGCUACAAGGCGCUCGAUUUGAAUGGGCAUGAAACCUACUUGGUUGUCCUUUCCGACUGGGAUUUGGAUGCUGCUUUCCUCCGAGCACACAAUCAGUCUAUCGCGACAAAGAGUGAACCUUGCAUUUACCUGCGAGUCGACAUCAAGCCAUUUUCAGAAACCCUGGAAUGGGAUGGCUCUGGCAAUGUGGGAGGAAUUACGCGAGAGCUGGCAUCGUUGCAGCAAUCGAUUGGAGCCGGGCAGAAGUAUGUUCAGAGCAAGCUCCCUGGUCUGAUUAUGAACCAAAUGGAGAAGACGUUCUCGUUGGUACAACGAGCAUUGAAUUUGGUCGAAGACCCAAUGAUGACUCAAGCCAUCAGACCACCUCUCGGAGAUACAGAAUUUAGGACGUUUUUGGAUUCGGUCGGGCAAAUCAUCGAGCCUGAUCAGCUGCGUAAAGUGAUUUAUCUGGGUGGAAUUGAUCCGAGCUUGAGGAGAGUGAUUUGGAAGCACAUUCUCAACGUGUAUCCGGAUGGAAUGACUGGUCGGGAACGGAUGAACUACAUGAAGAAAAAAUCAAGUGAAUAUUAUAAACUCCGAGAUGUCUGGCGCACUGCUGUUCAACAGGGCAAUAUUGUCGGCGAGCUGGCAUAUGUAACGAGCAUGGUACGGAAGGAUGUCCUUAGAACUGAUCGGUUGCAUCCAUUCUAUGCUGGCAGCGAUGACAAUCAGAACAUUGCAUCGUUGUUCAAUGUGCUUACGACCUAUGCACUGAACCAUCCAGCAGUCAGCUAUUGCCAAGGAAUGUCCGACAUCGCUUCGCCUCUUCUUGUCACGAUGGCCGACGAAGCACAAGCGUAUAUUUGUUUCUGUGCGAUCAUGGCCAGACUGAGCUGCAACUUCAUGCUGGACGGAAUAGCGAUGACGCUGAAAUUCAAUCAUCUUUCAGAGGCAUUGCAGUAUUACGAUCCGGAUUUCUUCGCAUACUUGAAAAUGCACCAAGCCGACGAUUUACUAUUUUGCUAUCGUUGGCUGCUACUGGAAAUGAAACGAGAGUUCGCUUUCGAUGAUUCUCUGAGGAUGUUGGAAGUUCUAUGGAGUUCCCUUCCACCAAUGGCUCUAAAGGGUGAAUUAUCGCUAUUCGAAAAGGAAUACGAGCCACCACCUCCGGAUGUACCUCCACCUAAAAGCCCUUCCCAAGUGGUGUUGAGAACUCCUCGCGAAAACCCUUACACAAAAGUUUGCGCUCUUCGGAGGCAAAGCUCAGCUCUAUCAUUAAGCACAACCUACACCAAUCCAAUCAGCAUUCAAGGUGCUCCUGGGAAGCUGGAUGCCACCAAACGGUUGAAUCUUAGUCUGGAUGAGAACAUAACCCGAGAUACUCUCUAUUCCGCUAAAGGGAUGAAAUCUCAUCAAAGUUUAGACGAAGCAAAAAUCGCAUUGGUAAAACAGCGAAAAGUUGUUCGCAGCGUUGGAGAUGACGAUAUAUUAGAAGGCUGUUACGAUCAAGAGGACAAUGAAACAGCCGAUGUGAAUGAUAGCGUUUUCAACUCGCCGCAACAUCCUCAAGGCAAAAGUAAAGAAAUAUCCGUGGAGAAUAAAAAUCCUUUUUUGGAUAGUUCGCCGGAGCCGACGUCUCCCACAGAACUGAUGACUGAAAACAAUGCACCAACAACCCGCACUGAUUUUGCAAAUGAUAGGUCUACAGAGAAUGACAGCAAGAUUCAGAAUAAUGUACAGCCUCAGAAAAAUUAUGCUCAACCUCUGCAACACCAGCCACCACCACCAGCCAGUGCGACGAACACCAAAAGAAACUCGCCAAUUAUCAGAAGCAAGAGCUUGUUUUCGUCCGGAACCGGAAACUUGAUCGCUCGGCAACUUAGCAAUCAGCGGAAAAACUUCAGUGCCUCCGGCGGAGGACAUUUCAAAGACUUAAAGGAAAAGCUGGCAGCCAGCAAGAAAGGCAUCCUCGCAUCACUCGAUAAGUCUGGGGGAGACAUUGCAUGUACUGCUUCGGGAGAAGAUGAUCGAAAACCAAAACUAGUUAAGAAUUUUAAUGAAUUUCUCAGCUUUGCAGCAAUCAAUCGUAGCCGAAUCAGUGACAAAUUAAACACAAAACGUGUUGUUUCAUCAAUCGACUCGGCAGGUAGCAACAGUACAUUAACAACGGGUUCAACAAGUACUACCAUGGACGAUGAUUCUACCGAGGUGAUUGAGUAUGAAGAUUUGAAACCGCGACCACUGAUACAGUUGACAAAGUCGUCAUUUGAUGAUUCCGAUUCAUCCAGCAUUGGGGUGGUCGAUUCGAUGACGGCCGUCUCGCGAUCUAGCGACAAUAGUAGUUUCAUAGUCGAUGAGAGCUCGGUUUCAGUGUCACCGAUACACCAACCACUGCAGACAGUCGACGCCAGUAAGGAUGACGAAGACAACAAAGUCGACUAUCAGUCGCAAGCGCAAGAAGGAAGCAGUCCGGACGAUUCACAGGAGUACUUUCCUAUGACGACAUCCAUGACGCGAGAAUUAAGAUUAGAACUAGAGAAUCUAGACCGUCACGUGUUCGGUACGGAUUUCCACAACCAACAGAGAUUUUACACAUUAAGUGGUUGCAUCGACUUAGAUACCCCACCCGAAAGUGGGGAUUCCGUCAAGAGCAUCACUCAGGCACGGCACAUAAGUUAUCGAAAGUUAACUGAUAACUGUUCCAAUGAUUUGGAAAUACAAUCAGCCGAUGAAAUAUGCGACUUGAGGGAAGUGUCGAGCAGUGAAACAGUUCAGUUCCGAGACAAAAAGAAAAUGAUCAAUGACGUGGACGUUGACGGUGGCAAACGGAUCAGUACUUCCAGUGCCAAUGCAGACGUUUUCGUGUGGGAAAAUCCGCUGCAUCAAUGCGAUAGCCCACUUUCUGCUGGAGGUGACACAUCACAAGCGCGCCCCUUGACAACAAUGAUAGAACGAACUGCUACCACGCCGGAUGAACACCCGGAACUUGAAUACGAUGGGGAAAUAAUUGUCGAAACAGCCGCCGGGAAGACAUCUGUCACUCCGAUACGGCUAGUGCGCCGUACGGGAGAUCAAUCUAACACCAAUUCGAACCGAAACUCAAUGAUGCUUCCCGAUUCUGACUCCGACGAUUCCGUGGAACAAUCUCCCGCAGUUAAUUUCAAAUUUCAUCCGAACAAUCCCUUCUAUGAUGCCAAUACCAUUGAAUCGAUGCGAGCUCCAGCCACGAUAGAUGCUGCCUUUUCCCCACUUGAUGCCAGCUUGGAAAUUCCUCCCCAAACAACGACUGGCUCGAGCAACUCGUUCGAAGAAGCUUCCGAGGCAUCUAAAGUUGAUUUGGUUAUUCAACAACCGUCGAUGAAUACCUCUUCCAACGUGAUGCCUCCAGAGCGUGCGGAAACAAUCAAAAUUGCAGGUGUAUUACCUCCACCGAACGAAUUUGGUGGAGGUAAUCCGUUUCUGAUGUUCCUUUGUUUGACUAUUCUGUUGCAGCAUCGGGAUUAUGUAAUGAAAACGGGCAUGGAUUACAACGAAAUGGCAAUGCACUUCGACAAGAUGGUUCGGAAGCACAACGUUGUGCGGGUUUUGAACCAAGCGAGACAAAUGUAUGCCGAGUAUCGGAGACUGCAUCAGCAGCAGCAGCAGCAGCAACAUCACAAGAGCAACAAUGUGUGUGGAGGAGGUAUGAGUAACAGUAUGUAUGAGAAUCUUGGCGGUGGACCGGCUGGUAACGAAGCCGUGCAUGUGCGAAGAAACACAACAAGUGCAUUGUCCUUCACGGCGUAGAGAAGUGCGGCAAUGGUGAUUUUCACUUACAUAGAGUACUAAUUUGAUUAAGGAAAAAUCAUGUUCAUUCAUAAUUUUCAUUUUAAAAGUGUAUUGAUUCCUUCUGCAAAUCCAUACUGUCAUGCCUAUUACCCUAUAUCGUCAACGCGGAUAGUUCGUUAGUCGAAAAUACUGAAUAAUUAAACAAACCAAAUGGCAUCACUGGUGGUUCUUUUUUCCACUCCGCUAAACUGUCAUCUCAAACAAAAACAAAUGGAUCAUACAACUGCUAUGAAUACAUUCGACUCGUUUGCUUCCAUCAAUCGGUAAGUGAGAAAGAUGAUUUCUCCCAUCAGUGCGGAUUUCCACUUCUAUCACAGCAGCCAACAACAUCCGUUUUCCUGCAGCAGUAACCUUCAACCCCUGUUGGCAAUGCCGGGGGACAGCAUCAACAGCAGCAGCAGCAGAAUUUGACCAUGGUAUGGUAUUGCGAAGAACUUUCCCCAUUAGAGGUUCCGUGCUUCGCGCACAUUCAAAAUCCUCUUCAGACACGAAAACUCAACGACAAGGAGGUAUUUAUCAACUUGCUCAGCUGAAUUACCACCCGGAGGAACCCGAAUGCACUGAUUCCGUUGUAUAGUAGAAUGAAAAUAGGCGAGGUAAGCGAACGUAAUCGCAUGAUAUUUUAAUAGUUCGCAUUUUUAUCCGGAUCAUACAACUGCUAUGAAUACAUCCGACUCAAUCAAUCGGCGAGUGAGAAAGAUGAUUUCCCUCAUCACCACAUUGCUUAUUUCCACUUCUGUCACGCCAGCCAACAGCAUCAGCUUUCCCGCAGCAGUAUCCUUUAAGUCCAGGGUGCUAUUCCGGGCAACAGCAUCAUCAGUAACAGCAGCAGGACCUGGCCAUCGAUAGUAUUUCGAGCAAUUUUCCCCAUCGGAGAUCCCGUGCUUCACGCACAUUGAAGAAACCUCCUCAGCCACAUAUGUGUGUCAAGGAGAAAAAGGAGCUGGAUUCGAAUCGUCAAUCCAGACAACCCGAAUGCACCGAUUGCAUUAUAUAUCUUGUUUAUAUUUUAUAUGCAUUUUGUGUUUUUUUGAAUAAAAUGAUUAAAAUCGA